rnacentral:rRNA from 1 species
AUUGAACGCUGGCGGCAGGCUUAACACAUGCAAUUCGAACGAGUGGCGGACGGGUGAGUAAUGUCUGGGAAACUGCCUGCUGGAGGGGGAUAACUACUGGAAAAGGUGGCUAAUACCGCAUACCCUCAGAUGUGCCUAGAUGGGAUUAGCUAGUUGGUGGGGUAACGGCUCACCAAGGCGACGAUCCCUAGCUGGUCUGAGAGGAUGACCAGCCACACUGGAACUGAGACACGGUCCAGACUCCUACGGGAGGCAGCAGUGGGGAAUAUUGGACAAUGGGCGAAAGCCUGAUCCAGCCAUGCCGCGUGUGUGAAGAAGGUCUUCGGAGUGUAAAGCACUUUUAGUUGAGAGGCGUUACCAACAGAGUAAGCACCGGCUAACUUCGUGCCAGCCGCCGCGGUAAUUC